GAUUAGGUUUCUGCUGCAGAUUCAGUGGUACCAUUAGCCUCUGGUUCAGCAUCCGGUUUGGUUUCUGCUGCAGGUUCAGUGGUACCAUUAGUCUCCGGUUUAGCAUCCGGUUUGGUUUCUGCUGCAGGUUCAGUGGUACCAUUAGUCUCCGGUUUAGCAUCCGGUUUGGUUUCUGCUGCAGGUUCAGUGGUACCAUUAGUCUCCGGUUUAGCAUCCGGUUUGGUUUCUGCUGCAGGUUCAGUGGUACCAUAGGUCUCCGGUUCAGCAUCCGGUUUGGUUUCUGCUGCAGGUUUGGUGGUACUAUUGGUCUCCGGUUCAGCAACCGAUUUGGCUUCGGUUGCAG
rnacentral:lncRNA from 1 species